rnacentral:rRNA from 1 species
UACGUAGGGGGCAAGCGUUGUCCGGAAUCAUUGGGCGUAAAGAGCGUGUAGGCGGCUCGGUAAGUCCGCUCUGAAAGCCCGGGGCUCAACCCCGGGAGGCGGGCGGAUACUGUCGGGCUAGAGUCCGGAAGAGGCGAGUGGAAUUCCUGGUGUAGCGGUGAAAUGCGCAGAUAUCAGGAGGAACACCAAUGGCGAAGGCAGCUCGCUGGGACGUUACUGACGCUGAGACGCGAAAGCGUGGGGAGCAAACAGG